CCCCUCAAUGAUGAAGAUCUGAUCUCACAUAUCCUCUCCGGGCUAGAUAUGGACUACCAGCCACUGAUUUCUGCCCUUGACGUCCGCACCGAGCCGCUUUCACUAGAUCACCUCUUUGCCCUCAUGUCUAACUUCGAUC
rfam:Triticum urartu cultivar G1812 contig299678, whole genome shotgun sequence.